rnacentral:rRNA from 1 species
AUACGGAGGAUGCGAGCGUUAUCCGGAUUUAUUGGGUUUAAAGGGUGCGUAGGCUGUGCGUUAAGUCAGGGGUGAAAUGCCGUCGCUCAACGACGGAGCUGCCCUUGAUACUGGCGGGCUGGAGUACGGAUGCCGUUGGAGGAAUGAGUGUUGUAGCGGUGAAAUGCUUAGAUAUCACUCAGAACACCGAUUGCGAAGGCAUCUGACGAAUCCGUCACUGACGCUGAGGCACGAAAGCGUGGGGAUAGAACAGGAUUAGAUACCCUGGUAUUCCACGCCGUAAACGAUGAUGACUAACCGUCGGCGAUAGACAGCCGGUGGCCAAGCGAAAGCGAUAAGUCAUCCACCUGGGGAGUACGUCGGCAACGAUGAAACUUAAAGGAAUUGACGGGG